rnacentral:lncRNA from 1 species
CUUCUUUCUUUCUAAUUUCCACUUCUAAUAAAAUGAGGCUGGUAUGAAUGAUACUAUAUAUGUAUAUAUCACAUCAUAUGUACAUAUAUAAGUAUUAUAUACAUGGUAUAUUUUACAUAUCCCAGCAGUGGAACACCUGCAAAGAAUGACAAACUUUGAAAGAUAGUAGUAACCUUUUUACAGCACAAUGCUCUUAAAAGGAAUGUACAAGUGCUAUGCAAAUCAUUUGCAAAAUGAACUUUUGAUCUUUUUGACCAAAUAAUGCCAGAUUGAGGCCAAGAAGAAAGUAUCCUUCAGUAUCACAUAAUAUGCUUGUGUUCUGCAACUCACCUAGGUUAAUGAAUAAAGAGUCACAUGGAGAAGCAUAAUAACGAAAAUGUCAAAUCCAUGGAAAAUAAGGAAGAGGAAUUGUACCUCCAUCAGCAACUAGCCUCCUUCUCUGUCCCAGUGCUCAGAAAUGCUUCAACAGUAGAAAUCUGUGUAGUAUAGAAGCCACACAUUAAGACUGGGACUCACUUGGUAAGACAAAUUUCUGUGCAAAUAUUUUUCCAAAGUAGAGAUAUGAAGAGGAGUCACUCUCUUUUUUUCAGAAAUGAGUACAGAAAUGAUAGUGAUAGGGGCAGAUAGAAAAUAUCUUUAUUGGUUUUAUUAAGUAAGCAGAUUAACCUAGAAGCAAUCCCCCAACUCAUGCAAACAUUUUUCCCCCAGGCUUCCCCUGAAAAAAGUCAAAGCAGAGAAGAACAAGGUGAUAAGCACACUUACUUUUGAACUUAAGAAAAUAUGUCUCUUUCACCACAGUUGUUCUUUUAACAAAUCAAUUUUUUAAUUGGGUUAUUUGCUCAUAAAUGCUUUAUGAGCAACUUCAAUAGUAACUCACAAGAAAACUGCUUUAGCAAACAUUGAGCAAGUUGAUUCAAGAAAACAACAGUUGCUGUGUGCAAAAGAAAUACCCAAAACAGUGCUUUUUUUUUUUGAGCGUCAUAGAAGUCAGUGUUUUGAGUUCCAGAAUUCAUAGAAUCACCAAAACGAGAAAGUUUGAAAGGAGGAAAGAAUCCCUGCCAAGAUCUGUACCUGUUUUACCUAAUAAUUAUGAUCAGAUUUAAUAUAGCACCUGAGUGAAUGUUUACUUUUAUUAUUGUAACUUCUGUGUAGUUUUGUUUUAAAGCAAGCAUUUACUGUCUUCUACUGCAAACAUCUCACAAUUCAGUCUCCUGGGCAGGAAAAAAAAAAUCUGUGGCUUGACACUUUCAUUUAACUGUGACCUAACCCUGGGUGAUAAAUGACUCUUCUUACCUCAUAAAUUUCUAGCAAUACUUUCUUGGUUUAAUUUGAAUUCAAAACAUGCAAACUGUUCCAAGGGUACUGGAUUUUAGCAAUUGUAUUGGAAUGUUCAGGAUCUUAUUUGAAAGACUGUACCUCUGUUUACCCCUGGUUGAAAUCACUGGCUCUUUUAUUGCCUAGAUGAAGAUGAAGUCCCAAGGGUGGUGGC